rnacentral:pre_miRNA from 1 species
UCUCUGUCUAUCCCUUACCAUUCAUCUUUCUCUCUGUUUACAGAGAGAAAGAUGAAUGGUAAGGGAUCAAUCCCUU